rnacentral:rRNA from 1 species
UUUGAUCAUGGCUCAGAUUGAACGCUGGCGGCAUGCCUUACACAUGCAAGUCGAACGGCAGCGCGGGAGCAAUCCCGGCGGCGAGUGGCGAACGGGUGAGUAAUACAUCGGAACGUGCCCAAUCGUGGGGGAUAACGCAGCGAAAGCUGUGCUAAUACCGCAUACGAUCUACGGAUGAAAGCAGGGGAUCGCAAGACCUUGCGCGAAUGGAGCGGCCGAUGGCAGAUUAGGUAGUUGGUGAGGUAAGGGCUCACCAAGCCUUCGAUCUGUAGCUGGUCUGAGAGGACGACCAGCCACACUGGGACUGAGACACGGCCCAGACUCCUACGGGAGGCAGCAGUGGGGAAUUUUGGACAAUGGGCGAAAGCCUGAUCCAGCCAUGCCGCGUGCAGGAUGAAGGCCUUCGGGUUGUAAACUGCUUUUGUACGGAACGAAACGGCCUUUUCUAAUAAAGAGGGCUAAUGACGGUACCGUAAGAAUAAGCACCGGCUAACUACGUGCCAGCAGCCGCGGUAAUACGUAGGGUGCAAGCGUUAAUCGGAAUUACUGGGCGUAAAGCGUGCGCAGGCGGUUAUGUAAGACAGUUGUGAAAUCCCCGGGCUCAACCUGGGAACUGCAUCUGUGACUGCAUAGCUAGAGUACGGUAGAGGGUGAUGGAAUUCCGCGUGUAGCAGUGAAAUGCGUAGAUAUGCGGAGGAACACCGAUGGCGAAGGCAAUCCCCUGGACCUGUACUGACGCUCAUGCACGAAAGCGUGGGGAGCAAACAGGAUUAGAUACCCUGGUAGUCCACGCCCUAAACGAUGUCAACUGGUUGUUGGGUCUUCACUGACUCAGUAACGAAGCUAACGCGUGAAGUUGACCGCCUGGGGAGUACGGCCGCAAGGUUGAAACCCAAAGGAAUUGACGGGGACCCGCACAAGCGGUGGAUGAUGUGGUUUAAUUCGAUGCAACGCGAAAAACCUUACCCACCUUUGACAUGUACGGAAUUCGCCAGAGAUGGCUUAGUGCUCGAAAGAGAACCGUAACACAGGUGCUGCAUGGCUGUCGUCAGCUCGUGUCGUGAGAUGUUGGGUUAAGUCCCGCAACGAGCGCAACCCUUGUCAUUAGUUGCUACAUUUAGUUGGGCACUCUAAUGAGACUGCCGGUGACAAACCGGAGGAAGGUGGGGAUGACGUCAAGUCCUCAUGGCCCUUAUAGGUGGGGCUACACACGUCAUACAAUGGCUGGUACAAAGGGUUGCCAACCCGCGAGGGGGAGCUAAUCCCAUAAAACCAGUCGUAGUCCGGAUCGCAGUCUGCAACUCGACUGCGUGAAGUCGGAAUCGCUAGUAAUCGUGGAUCAGAAUGUCACGGUGAAUACGUUCCCGGGUCUUGUACACACCACCCGUCACACCAUGGGAGCGGGUUCUGCCAGAAGUAGUUAGCUUAACCGCAAGGAGGGCGAUUACCACGGCAGGGUUCGUGACUGGGGUGAAGUCGUAACAAGGUA